rnacentral:rRNA from 1 species
CCUACGGGAGGCUGCAGUGGGGAAUAUUGCACUAUGGGGGAAACCCUGAUGCAGCGACGCCGCGUGAGUGAAGAAGUAAUUCGUUAGGUAGAGAUCUAUCAGCAGGGAAGAAAAUGACGGUACCUGACUAAGAAGCCCCGGCUAACUACGUGCCAGCAUCCGCGGUAAUACGUAGGGUGCAAGCGUUAUCCGGAUUUACUGGGUGUAAAGCGCUCGUAGGCGGGAUGUCAAGUCAAGGGUGAAAUCCCCGCGCUCAACGUGGGAACUGCCUUUGAUACUGGCGAACUGGAGUGUGUGAGAGGAUAGUGGAAUUCCAGGUGUAGGAGUGAAAUCCGUAGAGAUCUGGCGGAACAUCAGUGGCGAAGGCGACUAUCUGGCACAUAACUGACGUUGAGGAGCGAAAGCGUGGGUAGCAAACAGGAUUAGAUACCCCUGUAGUC